rnacentral:rRNA from 1 species
CAGCAGCCGCGGGAAUACGUAGGGUGCAAGCGUUAAUCGGAAUUACUGGGCGUAAAGCGUGCGCAGGCGGUUAUAUAAGACAGAUGUGAAAUCCCCGGGCUCAACCUGUGAACUGCAUUUGUGACUGUAUAGCUAGAGUACGGCAGAGGGGGAUGGAAUUCCUCGUGUAGCAGUGAAAUGCGUAGAUAUGCGGAGGAACACCGAUGGCGAAGGCAAUCCCCUGGGCCUGUACUGACGCUCAUGCACGAAAGCGUGGGGAGCAAACAGGAUUAGAUACCCGAGUAGUCCCUGUCUCUUAUAC